GACGAACGCUGGCGGCGUGCCUAAUACAUGCAAGUCGAACGCAGUGGGGACGGGUGCGUAACACGUGGGUAACCUCCCAUCAGAGGGGAUAACCCUUGGAAACAGGUGCUAAACCGAUACUGAUUGAUGGACCCGCGGGGCAUUAGCUAGUUGGUGGGGUAACGGCUCACCAAGGCCACGAUGCAUAGCCGGCCUGAGAGGAUGAUCGGCCACACUGGGACUGAGACACGGCCCAGACUCCUACGGGAGGCAGCAGUAGGGAAUCUUGGGCAAUGGACGAAAGUCUGACCGAGCAACGCCGCGUGAGUGAAGAAGGUUUUCGGAUCGUAAAACUCUGUUGUUAGAGAAGCGGUAUCUAACCAGAAAGCCACGGCUAACUACGUGCCAGCAGCCGCGGUAAUUC
rnacentral:rRNA from 1 species